AACUGCGAAUGGCUCAUUAAAUCAGUUAUCGUUUAUUUGAUAGUACCUUACUACAUGGAUACCUGUGGUAAUUCUAGAGCUAAUACAUGCUGAAAACCCCGACUCACGAAGGGGUGUAUUUAUUAGAUAAAAAACCAACGCCCUUCGGGGCUCCUUGGUGAAUCAUAAUAACUUAACGAAUCGCAUGGCCUUGCGCCGGCGAUGGUUCAUUCAAAUUUCUGCCCUAUCAACUUUCGAUGGUAGGAUAGUGGCCUACCAUGGUGGCAACGGGUAACGGGGAAUUAGGGUUCGAUUCCGGAGAGGGAGCCUGAGAAACGGCUACCACAUCCAAGGAAGGCAGCAGGCGCGCAAAUUACCCAAUCCCGAUACGGGGAGGUAGUGACAAUAAAUACUGAUACGGGGCUCUUUUGGGUCUCGUAAUUGGAAUGAGAACAAUUUAAAUCCCUUAACGAGGAACAAUUGGAGGGCAAGUCUGGUGCCAGCAGCCGCGGUAAUUCCAGCUCCAAUAGCGUAUAUUAAAGUUGUUGCAGUUAAAAAGCUCGUAGUUGAACCUUGGGUCUGGCUGGCCGGUCCGCCUCACCGCGAGUACUGGUCCGGCUGGACCUUUCCUUCUGGGGAACCCCAUGGCCUUCACUGGCUGUGGGGGGAACCAGGACUUUUACUGUGAAAAAAUUAGAGUGUUCAAAGCAGGCCUUUGCUCGAAUACAUUAGCAUGGAAUAAUAGAAUAGGACGUGCGGUUCUAUUUUGUUGGUUUCUAGGACCGCCGUAAUGAUUAAUAGGGAUAGUCGGGGGCGUCAGUAUUCAGCUGUCAGAGGUGAAAUUCUUGGAUUUGCUGAAGACUAACUACUGCGAAAGCAUUCGCCAAGGAUGUUUUCAUUAAUCAGGGAACGAAAGUUAGGGGAUCGAAGACGAUCAGAUACCGUCGUAGUCUUAACCAUAAACUAUGCCGACUAGGGAUCGGACGGGAUUCUAUAAUGACCCGUUCGGCACCUUACGAGAAAUCAAAGUUUU
rnacentral:rRNA from 1 species